rnacentral:lncRNA from 1 species
CAGGCUUUUGGUCUAAACAAAUCUCUGACUGUUUUAUCAGCUAAUCUAUAGUAUGAUCAAUAUGAAAACAUCAAUUUUUAACAAUCUAAAAGCUUUUGAGAAACAAUGGAGUAAUGGAGAGAGACUCUUGAAUUCUAAAAAAGAAAGAGAGUUAUCUUUUGUUGUAUUUUUUCUUCAAAAUGUAUCUCUUCUUUACCUUGUAGUUUUUUCUUUUUUUAAAUGGA